CUGAAGUCGUUUUGCAAACAUCCAAGUGACCGGCUACCGUACGGCACCAGUGAAGGCUCUCUGUCUGCCAAGCCGAGCGAGCAACAAACAAAACAACUGGCUCAGCUCCUCGGAGCACUCUCACCUUGCGCCACAAGCACCCCC
ensembl:ncRNA F22A3.13 ncRNA